UACGGGGGGGGCAAGCGUUGUUCGAAAUUACUGGGCGUAAAGGGCUCGUAGGCGGCCAACUAAGUCGGAUGUGAAAUCCCCAGGCUCAACCUGGGAACUGCAUCCGAUACUGGAUGGCUUGAAUUCGGGAGAGGGAUGCAGAAUUCCAGGUGUAGCGGUGAAAUGCGUAGAUAUCUGGAGGAAUACCGGUGGCGAAGGCGGCAUCCUGGACCGACAUUGACGCUGAGGAGCGAAAGCCAGGGGAGCAAACGGG
rnacentral:rRNA from 1 species